rnacentral:tRNA from 1 species
AUUGCGGUAGCUCAGUUGGUAAAGCAUCCGCUCGAUAGGCGGAACGUCGUCGGUUCUAUUCCGGUUCGCAACG